GAUGAACGCUGGCGGCGUGCUUAACACAUGCAAGUCGAACGGAAAGGCCCAAGCUUGCUUGGGUACUCGAGUGGCGAACGGGUGAGUAACACGUGUGUGAACCGUCCUGCACUUCGGGAUAAGCCUUGGGAACUGGGUCUAAUACCGGGUAGGACCACUUCGACGUCGUUGUGGUGGAAAGUUUUUGCGGUAUGGUAUGAGCUCGCGGCCUAUCAGCUUGGUGGUGGGGUAAUGGCCUACCAAGGCGUUGGCGGGUAGCCGGUCUGAGAGGGUGUAGGGCCAGAUUGCGACUGGGAGCCGGACUAGGGUCCUACCGGAGGCAGGAGUAGGGAAGAUGGAACAAUGGGCGGAAGCCUAAGGCGGCGUCGCGGUGUGAGAGAUCACGGACUUCGGGUUGAAAACUGCUUUCGCAAAUGACGAAUUUAUGACGGUAUUUGGAGAAGAAGCACCGGCUAACUACGUG
rnacentral:rRNA from 1 species